rnacentral:tRNA from 1 species
GGAGAGAUGUCAGAGUGGUCGAUUGAGCCGCUCUCGAAAAGCGGUAAGGUUAACGCCUUCGUGGGUUCAAAUCCCACUCUCUCCG